rnacentral:misc_RNA from 1 species
GCUUCGGGGCCAACUCUUUGACGACCGCUGCGAUCUGCUCCCUGGUCCUGAUGCCUGGGGCAUAAAGACAAUCCGCACCGGCCUCCGCAUAGGCCACCAGCCGCGCGAUGGUCGCCUUGAGAUCGGGCUGCGAAAGCUUUCGCAGCGCCCCACCAGCACGAUGUCGCCACCUUUUGCAUCGAUCGCCGCGCGGGCCGCGCGCAUGCGCUCCACUGCAAGUGUCAUCUCAUAGAGCGGUGCCGAAACAUC